CUAGAGACUAGAAUAGGCAGAUGGAGUUUAGCUAGCAUGAGCUAGCAUGCCAGUGACUGCAGCUUGAUCAUGUUUUCCCAACCUGGAGGAAACAAGAUUGACAUUGUAUGCUGCUCUUUGGCAUUUCUUAGUCACCUGUGCACCACCUCACUAUCAUCUCCCUACAGCAUGCCCUAGAAACUGAGGCAGAAACCUGCAAGUGACAAAGAUCACAGAACUGGAGCCCAGGAGUUCGGGCUUCAGCUAGCACAAGCACUGAAAUGGAGAACACUUCAUCCAACAUACAUUGACACAGGAGGAGUGGAAGCUGUGGCAGAACGGAAGUUGAGAUCUAUGGAAAGGUUAACAUCAGGUUUGAAAUUAAAAGUUACCUUCAACUGUUAAUCAGGUGGCAGUGCCUCGCUGCUAAAUGGUGCCUUGCUGCUAAAUGGUGAGAGAGAGCAGAGAGAGGAAUCCAGGGCUGCUUCCAACAGAGGGACAAGCAGUCAAGAGGACCAAAGAGGAUGGCAAACAGGAGGGAUGGUGGAAGAUGUUGGUAGCAUGAAGAAAAGGACGGUGAUGGCAGGGAUGAGGAAAAAAAAAUAUGGAAGAAAUACACAUAAAAGAAGAAGAGGGAAAAUUCAACAUGAAGAAGUAGAAAAGGUGGAAGCUGCCAUUAUUGCAGCUGCACAGAAAGAGAAACAAAAGUAAGGAAUGAAGUGAAGACAUACAAAAAGGUAAGGAAGUUUUAAAAGCACAUCCUUGUCAUGACUUCCUAAAGAAGCAAGGUGUGACAGGAUGCUAAUGGCUGGUUUUGCACCUACUAUAGAUCUCUGUGUCUCUAUGAGUCAUUAAGAAUACACCUACUGCAUAUGUUAAGAGAAUGGCAAAGCACACUCAAAUUUUACAUGAUUGGGCCAUAUUAAGAAAAACUUAAAAAAAAAAAAGAAAAAGUGGUCCUCAGUCUUGGCCCUAAGUACUAUCACAGCCUUUCAGGCUUCUGGUGUUUUCCAAAGGAAAAGAGUGAU